GAUGAACGCUGGCGGCGUGCCUAAUACAUGCAAGUCGAGCGAACAGACGAGGAGCUUGCUCCUCUGGCGUUAGCGGCGGACGGGUGAGUAACACGUGGAUAACCUACCUAUAAGACUGGGAUAACUUCGGGAAACCGGAGCUAAUACCGGAUAAUAUAUUGAACCGCAUGGUUCAAUAGUGAAAGACGGUUUUGCUGUCACUUAUAGAUGGAUCCGCGCCGCAUUAGCUAGUUGGUAAGGUAACGGCUUACCAAGGCAACGAUGCGUAGCCGACAUGAGAGGGUGAUCGGCCACACUGGAACUGAGACACGGUCCAGACUCCUACGGGAGGCAGCAGUAGGGAAUCUUCCGCAAUGGGCGAAAGCCUGACGGAGCAACGCCGCGUGAGUGAUGAAGGUCUUCGGAUCGUAAAACUCUGUUAUUAGGGAAGAACAAAUGUGUAAGUAACUAUGCACGUCUUGACGGUACCUAAUCAGAAAGCCACGGCUAACUACGUG
rnacentral:rRNA from 1 species